rnacentral:snoRNA from 1 species
GUGAUGUUGUGUGCCGCAUCUGAGAUGUGACGACAAACCUCCGGCUGA